ensembl:lncRNA
AUGGAGGCGCGUCAGAGGACGCGGGUCUUCUACCAGGCCACGCCCGCUGUUGGAGCAGAUGGAAGGAACAUCAUGAAGCUGAUUCCUAUUAAAAUAGUCAACGGACAGAAGUCCUCAGUCCCCGUGACUGAAACCGGCGCUGUCACUCAAGACUUGUCCAGAGGGACGGUUUCUGCUGCUAACGUCGUCCCCGGUCAAAUGCGUUCUGCCCGUUUGGACUCGGUAAACAAGCGUCCACCUCGGGCAGCUCCUCCCACCAGACCUUCACAUCAACUUCCAGUGAUGGUGAGCUCUCCAGCCCUUCCCAGAGGUCAGUUCCUUAAGAUCCCUCCCAACGCACAAGUCCAGAGAGUCCCCGUGUCCCAGCUCCCCCCUCUGAUCAAAGACCAGAUCUUCACCUCCUCCUCCAGCAGCUCUACUCCCACAGUAGUGUACGUGUCACCCGUCACCACCAUGAACCAAGCUGUGCCUGAACCAAGCAGAAUCAACCCCACACCUUCUCUCAAGCUCCCAUCCAGCCCAGAUCUUCCCAGAGGAGCUGAACCACACUUAAAACUGGUUCCAAAGGUUUCAGAAAGGCCCAGCAGUCCCAUAAGAUGGGAGAUCGAGGAGGUGGAGGGGCGUGCAGCUGAGACUACAUCACCUUUAAGUUCUCCUUCAGGAGCUCCCCGGGCUGCCGGGGGGGCAGAAAACGCCCUGGUCAUGUACGAGGGGAGGGUGUUCUUCGUUGCCCAAAAUAACGGCUCGUCCUCCGCAGCACCGCGGUCCCGCCAUCCAGCUGUGACCCAAACGGGGCAGAACCCAAGAGUUCAGAACCACUCAAAUGAUGUAAUCGAUCUGUGUGACGAUGACGAGGAGCCAGCUCCGUCCUCUGAGACAUCCCCCGUCUCUCAUCAGGAUGAAGAAAACGUCAUCUUUGUAUCGUAUAUUCCACCCAGAUCGGACUCUGGCUCCAGGCAAGCAGCUGCACGCCGCUCCAGCUGCCAAGCUGAUGUUCCGGUUCUGAGAGGAGGAGGACUGGGUCAGAACAUGUCCAUCAGCAAGGUGACUGAUGUCCACGCUCCAACAGAGAUGAACAUGUCCAGCACACAGAGUCUCUUCAGCAUCUCAGAUCUGCAGCUGGACAGCAUGGUGAGGGACACGGAGACAGGACGUCCAGCUGGUCACGUGGUGAGGGACACGGAGACGGGACGUCCAGCUGGUCACGUGGUGAGGGACACGGAGACGGGACGUCCAGCGGCUCAAACGCUACAGGAUUCCAGACUUUCUGCUCCUCACAGGACUUCCCCACCGGCACCAGAACCAGAACUCUGCCCAAGGUCCGACCAGCAGCUCAGGCGGAUCUUUGGGAUUACGUCUGAUGUGAAAGUUUUCCUACAGAAGCUGGAUGAAGCAGCAGCAGAACGGUUGUUGGAGGAUAAUAGAAAAGCAACAAAACGCUUGAAAGAAAACAAAACGACUCCUGAGAAGUUAAACGGGACUGGCCGUGGGCUCUCAGCACCUCUCCACACAAAGACCGGGCCUCUGGACAGUUUGAAUUUCCACUCAAAGCCUCAGGAGAGCUUUUGGACAGGUCAGAGGUCAUCUGAGAAAGGUUACGUGGAACCAAUAGAUGAAGAUUUCCCAGAUGAAAGUGUCAGAUCAGAGGGAACAACUCACAGUCUGCAGGUGCAGACGUGUGUGGACGUCAGCAGAAAAACGAGACGGGUUGGCCGGACGAGGAGGCGCACCAUGUGUCCGUGUUGCAUCCCGGCAGCUCUGCAUCCCGUACUUAAGUCGGGAGUGAGUUUAGAGCAGCUGGAGGCAUGGAUGUUCAUCACGGAGGAGACAGGGAAGCGAGUAGGAAAAGCCAAAGCUUCUAGAAAAGAUGGACGAACAUCUGUGAAGAUCAGCUACCAGAACUGUCAAAUACAUGAAGCAGCGGGUUUGUCCUCCACGUCCACCGACAAUUUUAGCGGACACAAAGAGACAGGACGUCUCAAAGGACUUCAGGGAGUGAAAGAGACAUAA